UACACAGGUCCCAAGCGUUGUUCGGAUUCACUGGGCGUAAAGGGUGCGUAGGUGGUCGGGUAAGUCUGAUGUGAAAUCUCCGAGCUUAACUCGGAAACUGCAUCGGAUACUAUUCGGCUCGAGGGUUGGAGGGGGGACUGGAAUACUUGGUGUAGCAGUGAAAUGCGUAGAUAUCAAGUGGAACACCAGUGGCGAAGGCGAGUCCCUGGACAACUCCUGACACUGAGGCACGAAAGCUAGGGGAGCAAACAGG
rnacentral:rRNA from 1 species